UACGGAGGGGGCAAGCGUUGUCCGGAAUUACUGGGCGUAAAGAGCUCGUAGGUGGUUUGUCGCGUUGUUCGUGAAAACUCACAGCUUAACUGUGGGCGUGCGGGCGAUACGGGCAGACUGGAGUACUGCAGGGGAGACUGGAAUUCCUGGUGUAGCGGUGGAAUGCGCAGAUAUCAGGAGGAACACCGGUGGCGAAGGCGGGUCUCUGGGCAGUAACUGACGCUGAGGAGCGAAAGCGUGGGGAGCGAACAGG
rnacentral:rRNA from 1 species